UGAAGCCUACUUUGUCAUAGUGGAUGAUAUCUUUGAUGUGUUCGCUUGGAUUCGCUUUGGAAAUCCCACAGUUCUGUCUGCGAUGGUGAGUUCAGCUUACAGGCAAGUCUCUGGACUGGCAUCUGAGCACCUGCCAGAGCCCACAACCUUUUCCAGGGAUUGUCUGAGUUACCUAAGUGGGAACCCUCAUUCUGCUUCGUGUGUCAUCCGGUUACCCCGUGUUUCCCAGUGCUUGCAUGGACAAUAGAGCCCAGAGAAGACAGCCCUCCACCACUGACUGUACCUAAUGACUCGAGUUUUAAUUUUCAACUUGACACAAUGUAGUUUUGUCUGUAAAGAGUCUUAAGACUAGUCUGUUUACAGUAGAUUUGUCUGUGGCUAUGUGACUGUCUUAUUAUUGAUAUAUGAUGACGAUACAGCCCACUGUGGGUGACACCAUUCCCAAGGCAGGGAGUCCCCACUGUGGAAGAGUAGAGUCAUGUAUCUGAAACUGUGAAGGUUGAGAAGCUCUGACCAGAAAUACAUGGAAUAUGUGUUUGAUGUGCAGCUUAGACCAAGCCAAUAGCAUGCAAGAGCAGAGAGGGGAGGCAGAUAGAACGAAGGAACUCUCCAUGCCUGUGUGCUUUCAGGUACCCACAUGCUCUAAGGAACAGCUAUGGUCCUUCCUUAGACAACGAGAAAGCUUUAGGAGGUUUUGAUCAAAGGAAAACCCUUUGCCAAGAUCUCAUCCCUUCCAGGAGAACUCUGCACUCUCCAUUUCUCCUCUUCUGGCUUCUGGUUGGAAACAAUAGUGAGCCAAACUUAGCGUUACCCUAUAGACUUGUGCAGAGAAGAAUACACUCCAGUGAUCAUGUUCCCCUUGUAGCUCGGGAGGGACUGUGUUAUGGCCAGGGCAGUUCAUAGAAUUGCUUGGAGCCAAGAUGUCCACCCUGCAGUGCAGGCUGAGAUCACUCUUCACACAGUGCAGCAAUUCUCUACAAUUUCCAACAGACAAGGACAUUGUCAGCUGGUGCACAACUCUUUGUCACACAUCCUUAGUUACUGGUCAUUUCUCAGAGGGAGCAGCUGGAAGGAAACAUCUGUCAGAGUCCACGUGUUCUGGACCACGGCUGCCCUGAGUUUCUGAGGUGCAGAUGAAGGAAUAAAGCCACAGGGGACAUGUGAGGUUAAAAACAGGCAGGAUCAAAAUGAUGCUACAUACUCCAAAAUGUCAAUAACCACAAACCCUGGUGUGGUGAAGAAUGCGGGAUAGGAAUGGAGGGUAAUCAGCUCAAUGGGAGAAUUGACUGGGAGAGAGAUUUCUUUAUUACAAUGGUCUUGUCUUUAGAUGCACAGGUUAUAGUGGGUUUGUCCUAUGUUGUAUGUCUAUAUGAGUGAGUAUAUACCAUGUGUGUCUGUUUGCUUCUGGGACAACUCACUCAGGAUGAUCCUUUUCAGAUCCCACCAUUUACCUGCAAAUUUCAUGAUUUCCUUGUUUUUCAUUGCUGAGUAAUAUUCCAUUGUGUAGAUG